ensembl:rRNA 5S_rRNA 5S ribosomal RNA
GCUUACGACCACACCGGCCUGAGUACGUCUGAUCUCGGAUGCUAAGCAGGGUCGGGCCUGGUUAGUACUUGGAUGGGAGACCGCCUGGGAAUACCAGGUGCUGUAAGCU